rnacentral:rRNA from 1 species
UACGUAGGGUGCGAGCGUUACUCGGAAUUACUGGGCGUAAAGCGUGCGCAGGCGGUUCGUUGUGUCGGUGGUGAAAGCCCCGGGCUUAACCUGGGAAUGGCCAUGGAAACUGGCGAACUGGAGUGUGGCAGAGGGGGGUGGAAUUCCGCGUGUAGCAGUGAAAUGCGUAGAUAUCGGGAGGAACACCAGUGGCGAAGGCGGCGACCUGGACGGACACUGACGCUGAGACGCGAAAGCGUGGGGAGCAAACAGG